AAAUCAGAUAGUAAAAAGAAGUUGGCUGAACGCAUCGAAGAAUAGGAAAAGAGAAAGGAAUAACAACAGAAAACGAGAAAAGCCAACAUUAAGAAAAAGAAAACUGAGAAGAAAGAACAUAAACUGAAUGAACGCCUCACACUUAACAGAGGAAAAGCUGGAAUUGUCUGAUAAGGCAACGAAAAUCCAAUUUAAACGGAAGUUAGAGGGAAUGAAGAAGAAAUUAAAAAGAAAAAGUAAGAAGAAGAGGUCCUGAAUUGCCAAACAUGCUCGAGCCACCAAGGCAGUAUCUGUGUCAUCAACCUCUGGUCUUUCAGAGUUUGUUAAAACAGAAAUUCCUCAACCAAGACUAGCAAGUACACUGGCAACACCAAUUUUUAACAGUGAAGGCUGCCUAGUUUCCAGCAAAUUUGAUUUUGGAGAACUAUCUAAUUCCUCACCCAUUCUGAAAAAGACCACUUUAUAUCCAGAAGUGGCAACGAUUAAAAUGAAAGAAAAUAAAACUUAAACCAAAAAUGAAUAUCUUGGUAGGCCAAGCUGAAGCUGAGAAUGCAAGAAGCAUUGAAUAGAAACAGGCAUGAAAUGGUGCUCUGCAAAUAGCUGAAGGUUUUCAGGUAAAAGACUAUGUGGAAUUGCUUGCCAAAUCAAUUAAUGAACGAGAUCAAAUCAGAAAGUAACAUAAAUUGCGCUGAACGAAUCGAAGAAAAGGAAAAGAGAAAGGAAUAACAACAGAAAAAGAGAAAAGCCAACAUUAAGAAAAAUAAAACUGAAAAGAAAGAACAUAAAGUGAAUAAACUAAAGAAAAAAGGCAAAUUUACCGUAUGAAAGACUGAUACUGACUCAUGGAUGAGCUAAACUCUUGUUCUUUCAUGUGCAGCCAUGUCGUGAUAGUUUUAUAGAAAAAUACACUGGCAUGCCUUCCAUGAUCGUGGAAAAUUUGAAGAAAAAAUAUCUUAGAUUCAUUUAAAAAGGUUUAGUGUCUUCACUA